rnacentral:rRNA from 1 species
UGGGGAAUUUUGCACAAUGGGGGAAACCCUGAUGCAGCGACGCCGCGUGAUUUAGAAGGCCUUCGGGUUGUAAAAAUCUUUUCUAUGGGAAGAAAAUGACAGUACAAUAGGAAUAAGUACCGGCUACUUACGUGCCAGCAGCCGCGGUAAUACGUAAGGUCCGAGCGUUGUCCGGAAUCAUUGGGCGUAAAGGGUACGUAGGCGGGUAAGCAAGUUAGAAGGGAAAUCCUAUAGCUCAACUAUAGUAAGCUUUUAAAACUGAUCAUCUUGAGUUAUGGAAGGGAAAGUGGAAUUCAUAGUGUAGCGGUGAAAUGCGCAGAUAUUAGGAGGAAUGCCGGUGGCGAAGGCGACUUUCUGGCCAUAACCUGACGCUGAGGUACGAAAGCGUGGGUAGCAAACAGG